GCCUGGAUAGCUCGGUUGGUUACAGUGUGGCACCGAUAAUGGCAAGAUUGCAAGUUCGAUCCCCGUAUGGGACA